UACGGAGGGUGCAAGCGUUAUCCGGAUUCACUGGGUUUAAAGGGCGCGUAGGUGGCCCUGUAAGUCAGUGGUGAAAUCUCCUCGCUUAACGAGGAAAUUGCCAUUGAUACUGCAGGGCUUGAGUACAGUUGCCGUUGGCGGAAUAUGACAUGUAGUGGUGAAAUACUUAGAUAUGUCAUAGAACACCGAUUGCGAAGGCAGCUGACGAAACUGUAACUGACACUGGGGCUCGAAAGUGUGGGGAUCAAACAGG
rnacentral:rRNA from 1 species